GCACUCUUAGCUCAGCUGGAUAGAGCAUCGGUUUGCGGUACCGAAGGUCGUGAGUUCGAAUCUCGCAGGGUGUA
rnacentral:tRNA from 1 species